GGAUCAUUAUGUUGGUCGUGCCUUGGUACGUACUGGCAUUAUUGAUUCCUACCUUCUGAAGAACUUCGAUGUCAUUAAUUUGGUGUCUUGGGGAAUCAGGACUGUUACUUUGAAAAAAUUAGAGUGUUUAAAGCAAGCUCACGCUUGAAUACAUUAGCAUGGAAUAAUGAAAUAGGACGUUUGAUUCUAUUUUGUUGGUUUCUAGGAUCGACGUA
rnacentral:rRNA from 1 species